GGCAAGAUGGCCGAGUGGUUAAGGCGUGUGACUCAAGUUCAAAGUUGAACUUCCAUUUCUCAUGGGCGAAUGUCCGCGUGGGUUCAAAUCCCACUCUUGUCA